rnacentral:lncRNA from 1 species
GACUCAAUUUCCAAAAAGUGAAUUCUCCCACGAAAACCGGCAAGAAACUCAAAGUGGAUCCAAGCAUUAGGAAUUUA